rnacentral:rRNA from 1 species
UNNNGCAGGGACGUACCCUCACCAGGUCCAGACAGCGUAAGGAUUGACAGGUUGAUUGUCCUUUCUUGAUUCUCUGGGUAGUGGUGCAUGGCCGUUCUUAGUUGGUGGAGUGAUUUGUCUGGUUAAUUCCGUUAACGAACGAGACCUUAACCUGCUAUUUAGUCGCUCGGUCUUUGUCCGCGCGCACUUCAUAGAGGGACUCUGCGGCGUCAAGCUGCGGUGAGGUUUAAGGCAAUAACAGGUCUGUGAUGCCCUUAGAUGUCCUGGGCUGCACGCGCUCUACACUGAUGCUUGCCUCGUGUUUACCCUCGGCCGACAGGCCUGGUAACCCCUAGUCUGCAUCGUGUUUGGGAUUGAUCUUCGCAAUUCUAGAUCAUGACGAGAAUGUUGAACUUUUCUCUGCAAUCCCUUUUUUUUUUCUCUUUCGUAUCUCACCACCCCCG